rnacentral:ncRNA from 1 species
UGAGCCGUGUGAGGGGAAACUCUCAUGCACGGUUCUUAGAGGGGAAGGGGAUAGUAAUAUCCUCGACCUACUC